rnacentral:rRNA from 1 species
AUUGAACGCUGGCGGCAUGCUUUACACAUGCAAGUCGAACGGUAACAGGCCGCAAGGUGCUGACGAGUGGCGAACGGGUGAGUAAUGCAUCGGAACGUGCCCAGUCGUGGGGGAUAACGCAGCGAAAGCUGCGCUAAUACCGCAUACGAUCUAUGGAUGAAAGCGGGGGACCGUAAGGCCUCGCGCGAUUGGAGCGGCCGAUGUCAGAUUAGGUAGUUGGUGGGGUAAAGGCUUACCAAGCCAACGAUCUGUAGCUGGUCUGAGAGGACGACCAGCCGCACUGGGACUGAGACACGGCCCAGACUCCUACGGGAGGCAGCAGUGGGGAAUUUUGGACAAUGGGCGCAAGCCUGAUCCAGCAAUGCCGCGUGCAGGAAGAAGGCCUUCGGGUUGUAAACUGCUUUUGUACGGAACGAAACGGUCCUGGUUAAUACCUGGGGCUAAUGACGGUACCGUAAGAAUAAGCACCGGCUAACUACGUGCCAGCCGCCGCAGUAAAAC